UCCUCUAUAUCUGCAGUUUGAUGGGCUCUUUUGCUUUUAUGUAGUAUUUAGCUAAAGUUGGAGAAAAUCUGCAGAGAGCACUACGUACUUCCUUUUUUUUCUUUUUAUUUAACUGCAGACACAGAAUUUAAAACACAGGAAGUUCUGCUUCCUCGACAGCUGCAUUCAAAAGCAGUGCAUUUCUUUCUGUUUCUGACCUGAGUCUGGCCCGUAGGCUACCUCCUGAAGUUGAGAGUGUUUCUGCCUCUGGUGAAGCCUUGUGUUAGCUUUCACACACAUGACGUUAAGGGGUGAAUUGUCCUUUCUUAUUUUUUCUCAUUUCUCUUAUUGCUAUUUUGAAAACUCCUCUAGAGUAUGGGCGAAGAAAGUAAAAGUGAAACUCAGCACAUUUUUUAAAAAUUAGUCAUUGUAUUUUUCAAAGGAAAGUUGCUGAAAGAGAAACCAAGGGAAUCUACAUAUUAGAACAAGAUCUAGGGGCCAGAAGAGGAGGCAGUAUAUAUUCAAAGUUCCUGCUAAUUAUCAGAGAAAUGCACAUCAAAACUACAGUGAAGUACCACCUCAUGCUGGUCAGAAUGGCCAUCAUAACAUCAGUUCAGCCACCAAAUCUAUCUAUAAGUCUGGGGAAAGGAGCCACAGAGGAAGACUGUGGGGAGAUGAGAGUCAUGACGAGAAAAACCACUUGUUGCUCUAACCACUUCUCCCAGGAGGAGACUGUGACCCCAGGGAGUUUCUCUGGGAGCUUUGCCAUUGAAACCUCUGUACAUCCCCUGGCAACAGAUGAUUUGCUGCACUGCUGAAAGGAGCAGACAGGGGCUGGGCGCGGGGAGUGCCGAAGCUCACAAAGGAACUGUCCUCUUAAAUAACAAGCCCACUGCUCGCCAAGGCUGCUGGAGCGCUUUCAUUCAACAGGGGUCUGGAGCAACCACCUCUCUGCCUGGCAUAUAAAUCUCUGUGGGCUUUCUUCCUUCUAGGUUUUUUUCUCUUUUGGGUGUGGAUGGGUUCUAUUGUCUGUUGCUUUGCUUUUUUUUUAGUUGAGAAAAAUCUGAUUAAAGAACUGAUAAUUU